GGGAUGUAGCUCAGUUGAUAGAGUGCUUGCCUAGCAUGCACAGGGCCAUGGGUUCAAUCCCCAGCAUCACCA
rnacentral:tRNA from 1 species